GAGAUUACACUGUCCAGUCCGCUCAGUCUGUACUAACAGAAGCCUGCCAUUCCCAUUCCUGCACCCCCCUCCUCCCGGGCACAAAAGGAAAUGCCCUAAAGGGUGAGUGACUGUCAGACCAGCCUGAGGGGAGCAAUGGGAAAAGCUGCUUGCUGCGAAGAGGUAGGCUUGGCAGGACUGCAGGCAGAGGACUCUCCCCACCCCCCUGCAGGCUGGCCAGGGACAAGCUGGGAGGACGGAGGCCGGCCCUGGCCCAGCCCCAGGCAAGGGAGGAGCCUCCACCCAGAUGGUGCAGGUGGAGGGCCUGGGCUCAGGUGUGUCCUGUAGGAAGUGAUUGCUACUUGGCUGGCAGAGGCAGAGGAAAGCAGAUUAUUGUCCUGAGGACCCAGCUCUGGGAGGCUGGGCUCGUCUCCCCAAAUCUGCCUUGGAGGAAAGCAAUGGAAGAGGAAGGGGUAAUAAACUUCAAGGAACUUCGAGCCAAAUUUCAAAAUCUUGAUGCUCCACCUCUUCCAGGACCUAUUAAAUUCCCAGCAGGUGUUUCUCCAAAGGGUGACAUUGGAGGCACACAGUCAUCUCAAAUUUUGACCAAUGGAAAACCCCUCUCAUCCAACCACAAGCAGCUUCCACCAUAUUGUUCCAGUAGUGAGUCCCAGCCUCUUCAACGUCAGAAAAUAAAGUUGGCUCAGAAGAGUGAAAUUUCAAAAUGUUCUAACUCCCUAGGGCCUCUAGGAAAGUCCAUUGUAUCUUCUGCAGUAAGUUCACAGAAAGCUUCUCUGCUGUUCGAUGUGACUCAAUCAAAUGUUGAGAUAACCACUAAGGAAAAAGUAAUGGUGGCCAGUAGCUUCAGAAACAAACUCUGGAACUGGGAGAAGGUUUCAGCUCAGAAAAGUGAAAUGUCAUCAGCCCUUCUCCUUGCCAACUGUGGAAAUAAGUCCUUCCAUCUGGAAGGACAAAAAGGCAUGAAGCUUUCUCCAGAGGAACCCAGGAAAAAGCUGGAAACAAAAGGAGCCCAGACUCUUCCUUACCAGAAGCACUUGGUGACCCCCCAAAGAUUACUUACCAUCUCUGAAGAUCCCUGUUUUCUAAUUUCUCAACAUAUCAGGAAGAGCUGGGAAAACCCACAUCCUGAGAGGAGCCCAGCAAGCAGCACCUGCCAGCCUAUCUAUGAGUGUGAGCUUGCCAGCCAGGCCCCAGGAAAACAGCCAGAUGUCAGGCAUCACCACCUUCCCAAAAUGAAGCCACUGCCGUCCAUCGACUCUGUGGGUCCUCCUCCCCAAAAGCCUUCAAGGCCUCCCAUCGUGAACCUCCAGGCCUUUCAGAGGCAGCCAGUUGCUGUUCCCAAGACUCCAAGGGAAGUGACUGUGGAAGAGGACUCCCUGCCUUCAGAGAGGCUUUUCAGUGCAGAAUUUGAAGAACCACAUAAUUAUGAGGCAACAAUUCCAUGUCUGAGAUACUCUGGCAACUCCAUUAACCUGUGCACUGCAAAAGAAAUUGCUGAUCCAACUUACGAAGUUGGAAUUGAAGAACUCCAAAAGCCUUGCAAAAAUUUCCCCUAUCAAGAACCUAGUGCUAAACAUGAAGAUAAAAAAAUGAAGGAAAAAGAGCCAUGUGAAUUGGACCCUAAAAACACAGAAAAGGAACCACAUUCAAACCAUGCUUUCAAGGCAGAUGCCUAUGAAGGGACACCUGAAAAACUCCAGAUGACCAAUGUCCACAUGGGUAGAAGAAACAUGUUGGCUGGAAAGCAGGAGGCCAUGAUUGACGUCAUCCAGACAAAUCCCUUCCCUGAGGGCCCGAGGUUGGCCAGGAACUCCCAAGGCCACUUGAUAUGUGUGAAUGACCUUAUGAUGGCAGCUGAUGAGAUGUUCUUCAGGGGGGUUUCUUAUUUCCUUUCAGGUGGGUAUCUGGAGGUUUUGGAGUCAACUAAAGAAGCUUUAGACCUAGGGGUCUCUAAGCCAAGUUCCGUCUCGGAGGAGAUAUAUGAUGAUGUCGAGUACCCCAGGAAAGAGGUAUCGAGGUUGAACUUCUCUAGCUCAUUUGCCUCAAAUAGUGAAGAAAAUAGAGAGGAAAUGUAUGAAGAUGUCUACAAAACAAAGAACAACUACCCAAAGAUAGAUUUAGAUGGAAAAGAAGCACUGAAAAGACUGCAGCAAUUCUUUAAGAAAGAAAAGGAUAGAUUUAAAAUAAAGAAAACCAAGUCAAAAGAAAACUUAAGUGCAUUUUCCAUUUUGCUGCCUGAUUUAGAACUUAGGUCUCAGGAAGUUAUUAACUAUGAUGAUGUGGACCUGAGUGAAAAAGAGUCAAAACAUGAAGAUAAACUGAAAACAUGGAAGCCCAAGUUUCUGAUACCAAAGGAAAAAGAGAAAAACGGUGCUGAAGAAUCAGAAAGUUUCUCUCCUAGGAAUUUCUUCAAAACCAAGGGGCAAAACUUAGAAAAGAACAGAAUGAAAAGAGAAGAAAAACUCUUUAGAGAAAGAUUUAAGUACAAACAAAGAGAUUAUUGUCAUCAACACAGCAGUGGCCUGUUCAAGUAAUUCAAGAAAUGGAAUAUUCGAUUUGCCAAUAACCCCUGGAGAAGAACUGGAAGUCAUUGAUACCACUGAGCAAAAUCUAGUGAUAUGUCGUAAUUCUAAAGGCAAAUAUGGAUAUGUGCUCAUUGAACAUCUAGAUUUCAAGCAUCAAAGUUGGUCACCUUAGAAAGAUCAAGAUCAAAUGCUAUGGUCUGCACAAGGGAGAACUAGUCCUAAGAUCUUAGUCCUGCCUUACAUCAGUUUCAGUUUACAUGUCUAAAUUUUGAGAUGGUGGAAUCUGUGGAAACUUUCGUUCAGAACUCAAAAGAGAAAAAUAAAAACAAAUCCUCAACAUUUAGAUGUUGGUUUCACUCCUAAAAGGUUAUCUUUCAAUGUCUAUUUCAGUAUCUACUUCACUGCCAGUUCAAGAGAAUGUGAAACAGUAUGUGUUAGCAUUUGAGCACUUAUUUAAUGAGCCACAGCCAAAGUUAGAAAUCAUGCCUUAUGGCACCUAGUCAGUUGUGCAGAUGGUUAGUUUGCUUCUAAUAUUAGUACAUGAGCGUUUGCAAUUUCUAGAUGUUGUGCAUUCAAAUUUGGAAUAAUUUAAUUCUGAACAGUAAAUAGCGUAACCAAGUGCUUUUAAAUAGUCAAGUUUAAGGUAUAAUCUUAAAGUAAUUAUGGCUCAGUCUUUAAAAAAAAAAUCAAGGUAUACCUGUCCUUUUACUUUAUCACAAAAAUUAACUUACAUGAAUACGGUUCCACAUUGGUUUCUUUUGGGAAUAGUCUGCUGAAGAAUAAUUUAUUCCUAAACUUACCCAUCAUUUUAAGAAGGGCCCAAACGUACUUAACAAAAUAAUAUAUAUGCUAUAUUACUUUAAAACAUCUUUGUGUCCAAAAUAAGAACAAUUGGCAUUAUUUUGUCUAUGCCCAAAUACCUGUUCAAAUAAUAGCAUUCUUAUGUACUUUCAUUUAUAUGGAAUUAAAUAAAAAUUUAAAAGCUGAA